rnacentral:antisense_RNA from 1 species
CGUCCGGGCCGGCUUUGCGGGCCACGUCGA